GACGUAGGGGGCCAGCGUUGUUCGGAAUUACUGGGUGUAAAGGGUUCGUAGGCGGUGUGGCAAGUCGGGAGUGAAAUCUCUGGGCUCAACUCAGAGACUGCUUCCGAAACUGCUGUGCUGGAGUGUGGGAGAGGCGCGUGGAAUUGCAGGUGUAGCGGUGAAAUGCGUAGAUAUCUGCAGGAACACCCGUGGCGAAAGCGGCGCGCUGGACCACUACUGACGCUGAGGACGAAAGCUAGGGGAGCAAACAGG
rnacentral:rRNA from 1 species